UCUCGAUCUCCUCCAACUAAAAUCGCGCCCGAAACCCCCUUCCCUCUCCGGCGAUCCUCCUCGCCAGAUCGCCGGUCACCGCGAGCUCACUGUCGGUAGGGGUCCUUCCCUCCGCUUACUCUACAGACGCCCCUUCUCCCUUCCUCUCUCUCGUGUUCCUGCCCUAGAUCGCCGACAGAGAGGUUUCGUCCACUGCGACCGCGUUCUUGCCGAGUCGCCGGAGAAAGGCCGCUGGAGAUCGAAGGGUACUGACCAUCUCUGGCUGAGCAGGCAUCUUGGUUAUUUCUUGCGGGAGAUCGAUGGUGAUCCGACGGAGCUAGGGCACAGAAGGGGGGUUUGACCCACGUCCCCAGCCGAUCGAUUCCUUCUGAUACUCCUCCAUAGUCUAUUCGUAGUGGAAGGUCUGGACCGUCACCAACUGGAGCAGAUCUUGAGCUCCUCCAUUUCUUGCGAUUGAUUGGUUCUCGGCUGAGGGAUUAGGGAUUGAUUGAGGGUUCUUUGGUAGCGGUUAGCAGAGGUUCUUGUGGGCUGUGAGAUUCAGAAUUGGCUGCCAAAACCUCACGGUUGUAGGGUUGUUCUUACCUGGUAUGUGUUGGUUUAUGGAAAGAAGUGGCGUAG